CACAGAGCUGCCCCGCGUGGGGGCGCAGGUGCCGAGCAGACCAGCGGAGAAGUCAGGUCCUGGGCUGAGUGCAAGCUUGACCUGCUGUCAGGAGUCCUGAGACAGCGGCUGGGGAAUGAGGGGUCCUGAAGGGGGACAUGGAGCCUCUUCGAGGCAGGGAGCUGCCCCCCUGGAGCCAGGCCCCCAAGGCUGAUGCCCUGAGCCAGCCUCUGCAGGAGCGACGUUUGCAAAACAUCUUGAAACAAAACAAUGAACCAUGAACAAUGGGUCACUGAUACAGAUGAAGGGGGUCAGCCUCCAGACGUCAGUCCAGAAGUCCAUCAACCCAGGAAGAGUCACCCGCCAGGGACACAGGUGAGUGAUCAAAGCCCUGAUGGGCACAGCUCAGUGGCCAGUCCACUGGGGGCCCCUCUCCAGAUGCUCCAGACAGUUCUGCAAGAGAGCUUCUAAAAACCCCUACAUUUGAAUGCCAAAAUGUCCCCUCCUCCUCUGGGAGCCUUGUACUAUGGCUCAAUAAACUGUGCCUUGCCACCCGCCACUCUUCGUCUGGUCUACAUCUUCACUCCAUGCGGCGCAACCAGGAACUGAGGCACUCGGGCACGAAGAGGACGGCACACACACAGCCCAAGGCCCCAGGACAGCCCAGACCCUAUGGCAUUGCCAUCUGCCACUGCCCGCUAGGUCCCCCAACACCCAUGGGAGCCUACCCCACUGUCACCGGCGAUCCCCCAACCUCGCGGCCUGGGCACACACCAGGCCGUCCGACUGCAGCGCUUCGGUCUCCAGGUAAAGUGGGUACACCAGGAAUAAUGCGCCCUUUCAGGUGAACACCGAUCCCCUGAGGGUACCCCUGGGAGGCCGAUGCACCAAAGGACCCCAACACCCACACACACACGCGGCCCAGCCAUGAGGGCCUGUGAUGUGCAUUCCAACAAAUCCUGCCCACGCGUCAUGUUUCCCUGCAUCCUGAAUAAUGUCAGGCAUUCUUCUGCCGGGGGCCUGGAGCAGGCUCUGGUCCUGGACUAACUUCUCCUUUCUGCUUAGUUCUCUUCUUCAUUGUGUGGGUUAUUAACAGCGUGUUUCACUUUUACAAGAAAACUGUGAUGGAGGGGGCACUGACCUUCACUACUGGUGAAGACCAGGUCGCUGGGCCAGCCCCAGGGGAACCCACGGCUUCUCCAGAAGGCAGCUCUGCCGGGCAGCCGGGACAAUUCCUGUCUGCUGCACACCCUGCUCUGCACCCUGCACGUGGGUCCCCUCCCUCCCUCCCUCUCCAGCCUCCAGCCCUGGACUGGGGGUGCAGCAAUGAUUCGGGCCCAGGGCCUGCCCGCAGAGGCCAACUCCAAGCCUCGCGCAUCGGUGCUCACGGCAGCUUUAUUCACGGCAACGAAAGGGUGGAUGCGGCC